GCCCUUUGUCGCUAAGAU
rnacentral:snRNA from 1 species